UACGUAGGGUGCAAGCGUUGUCCGGAAUUAUUGGGCGUAAAGAGCUCGUAGGCGGUCUGUCGCGUCGGCUGUGAAAACCUGGGGCUCAACUCCGGGCCUGCAGCCGAUACGGGCAGACUAGAAUUCGGUAGGGGAGACUGGAAUUCCUGGUGUAGCGGUGAAAUGCGCAGAUAUCAGGAGGAACACCGGUGGCGAAGGCGGGUCUCGUGGGCCGAAUGAUUGACGCUGGAGGCACGAAAGCGUGGGGAGCAAACAGGA
rnacentral:rRNA from 1 species